AACCGAGAACUCCUACGGGAGGCAGCAGUGGGGAAUAUUGCACAAUGGGCGCAAGCCUGAUGCAGCCAUGCCGCGUGUAUGAAGAAGGCCUUCGGGUUGUAAAGUGCUUUCAGCGGGGAUGAAGGGAGUAAAGUUAAUACCUUUGCUCAUUGACGUUACCCGCAGUAGAAGCACCGGCUAACUCCGUGCCAGCAGCCGCGGUAAUACGGAGGGUGCAAGCGUUAAUCGGAAUUACUGGGCGUAAAGCGCACGCAGGCGGUUUGUUAAGUCAGAUGUGAAAUCCCCGGGCUCAACCUGGGAACUGCAUCUGAUACUGGCAAGCUUGAGUCUCGUAGAGGGGGGUAGAAUUCCAGGUGUAGCGGUGAAAUGCGUAGAGAUCUGGAGGAAUACCGGUGGCGAAGGCGGCCCCCUGGACGAAGACUGACGCUCAGGUGCGAAAGCGUGGGGAGCCAACAGGAUUAGAUACCCGAGUAGUCCGACUGAGA
rnacentral:rRNA from 1 species